rnacentral:rRNA from 1 species
ACUCAAAGGAAUAGACGGGGGCUCACACAAGCGGUGGAGCAUGUUGCUUAAUUCGAGGCAACGCGAAGAACCUUACCUAGGCUUGACAUGCUUGGAUUAACUCUAUGAAAGUAGAGCCACACCCUCUGGGUGGAACAAGUACAGGUGCUGCAUGGCUGUCGUCAGCUCGUGCUGUGAAGUGUCAGGUUAAGUCCUUUAACGAGCGCAACCCCUAUCGUUAGUUGCUCACAGGUAAUGCUGUGUACUCUAGCGAGACUGCCGGUGUCAAACCGGAGGAAGGUGGGGAUGACGUCAAGUCCUCAUGGCCCUUACGCCUAGGGCUGCAAACGUGCUACAAUGGUGCAUACAAAUCGAUGCAAGAGCGCAAGCUGGAGCAAAUCGCAAAAAAUGCACCCCAGUUCGGAUUGUAGGCUGCAAUUCGCCUACAUGAAGUCGGAAUCGCUAGUAAUCGCGGAUCAGCUACGCCGCGGUGAAUGUGUUCCUGAGCCUUGUACACACCGCCCGU